rnacentral:rRNA from 1 species
AUGGCUACUGUCUUCCCCCGUGACGCUGGCGUCUCCACGCCGGAAGCCGACGAGGCUAAGAAAAUCUACGAGGAAGCACGGAGAGUGGUGUCCACCUACGAGACCGUUCCCAGCGGAGCCCUGCGGGAUUACUGCCGCCACCCGGGCGGCUGGCACAUGAUCAUGCCGGUCAUGGUGAGCUCCAUGGUCGCAGAGCAGCACUUUGAGGCGCGUGGCACCGACGUGCUCCUUGUUACGAUGCCCAAGUGUGGGACUACCUGGAUCAAAGCCCUCCUCUAUGCUGCGGCCCGCCGCACCGACGACACAUCGUCCAUACUCCGGCAGCUCGCCUCCCACAACUCCCACCAGCUCGUUCCUUUCCUCGAGGCCCAGGUCUACACCAAGGACCAGAUCCCCGACCUCAGCUCGCUUCCAGCGCCACGGCUCUUCGCCUCGCACAUCCCGGCUGAGUCUCUGCCACCCUCCGUUGUGGCGUCGGGCUGCAAGGUGGUGUAUUUGUGUCGGGACCCCAAGGACUGCUUUGUGUCUCUCUGGCACUUUAUGAGCAAGUUCACCCCACGGGACAUCGACGAGGCACACGACCAGUUCUGCAACGGCGCCUCAUUGUAUGAGCCGUUCUGGGAGCACGUGCUGAGCUACUGGCGGUGGCACAUUGAGAGACCGGGACAGGUGCUCUUCCUGACUUACGAGGAGCUCAAUGCCAACCCGCUCGGCCAGCUGAGGCGCCUUGCUGAGUUCAUCGGGCGCCCCUUCAGGGGAGCAGGAGGCCGGAGUGGACAGGAAGAUCACGGAGGCAUGUGCCAUGAAGAGCAUGGUCAACCAGGAGGUGAACCAGUCGGGUACGACCGAAAUAAUUGA